GACGAACGCUGGCGGCGUGCUUAACACAUGCAAGUCGUACGGUAAGGCCCUUUCGGGGGUACACGAGUGGCGAACGGGUGAGUAACACGUGAGUAACCUGCCCACAACUUUGGGAUAACGCUAGGAAACUGGUGCUAAUACUGGAUAUGUGCUCCUGCUGCAUGGUGGGGGUUGGAAAGCUCCAGCGGUUGUGGAUGGACUCGCGGCCUAUCAGCUUGUUGGUGGGGUAGUGGCCUACCAAGGCGGCGACGGGUAGCCGGCCUGAGAGGGUGACCGGCCACAUUGGGACUGAGAUACGGCCCAGACUCCUACGGGAGGCAGCAGUGGGGAAUAUUGCACAAUGGGCGCAAGCCUGAUGCAGCAACGCCGCGUGCGGGAUGACGGCCUUCGGGUUGUAAACCGCUUUCAGCAGGGACGAAGCUUUUUGUGACGGUACCUGCAGAAGAAGCACCGGCUAACUACGUG
rnacentral:rRNA from 1 species